GAUGAACGCUGGCGGCGUGCCUAAUACAUGCAAGUCGAGCGAACGGACGAGAAGCUUGCUUCUCUGAUGUUAGCGGCGGACGGGUGAGUAACACGUGGAUACCCUACCUAUAAGACUGGGAUAACUUCGGGAAACCGGAGCUAACACCGGAUGAUAUUUUGAACCGCAUGGUUCAAAAGUGAAAGACGGUCUUGCUGUCACUUAUAGAUGGAUCCGCGCUGCAUUAGCUAGUUGGUAAGGUAACGGCUUACCAAGGCAACGAUGCAUAGCCGACCUGAUAGGGUGAUCGGCCACACUGGAGCUGAGACACGGUCCUUGCUCCUACGGGAGGCAGCAGUAGGGAAUCUUCCGCAAUGGGCGAAAGCCUGACGGAGCAACGCCGCGUGAGUGAUGAAGGUCUUCGGAUCGUAAAACUCUGUUAUUAGGGAAGAACAUAUGUGUAAGUAACUGUGCAUAUCUUGACGGUACCUAAUCAGAAAGCCACGGCUAACUACGUG
rnacentral:rRNA from 1 species